UUCAUACUCCCUCCGUCCGAAAAAGCUUGACCCAAGCUUGUCCCUUCAAAUGGAUGUAUCUAGCACAUAUCUAGCACCACCUCAAAUGGAUCUAGCAAUUGGUGCUAGAUACAUCCAUUUGAGGGACAAGUUUUUUGGACGGAGGGAGUACCUC
rnacentral:pre_miRNA from 1 species